GGACUACUCGGGUAUCUAAUCCUGUUUGCUCCCCACGCUUUCGUGCUUCAGUGUCAGUGCUGGUCCAGGUAGCCGCCUUCGCCACUGGUGUUCCUCCCGAUCUCUACGCAUUUCACUGCUACACCGGGAAUUCCACUACCCUCUACCGCACUCUAGCUUGCCAGUAUCCACUGCCAUUCCCAGGUUGAGCCCGGGGAUUUCACAGCAGACUUAACAAACCACCUACGCACCCUUUACGCCCAGUAAUUCCGAGUAACGCUUGCACCCUUCGUAUUACCGCGGCUGCUGGCAC
rnacentral:rRNA from 2 species